rnacentral:rRNA from 1 species
CACGUAGGGUGCGAGCGUUGUCCGGAAUUAUUGGGCGUAAAGAGCUCGUAGGCGGUGUGUCGCGUCGGCCGUGAAAACCUGUGGCUUAACCAUGGGCUUGCGGUCGAUACGGGCAUCACUGGAGUUCGGCAGGGGAGACUGGAAUUCCUGGUGUAGCGGUGAAAUGCGCAGAUAUCAGGAGGAACACCGGUGGCGAAGGCGG